AUUGAACGCUGGCGGCAUGCUUUACACAUGCAAGUCGGACGGCAGCACAGAGAAGCUUGCUUCUUGGGUGGCGAGUGGCGAACGGGUGAGUAACAUAUCGGAACGUACCGAGCAGUGGGGGAUAACUAAUCGAAAGAUUAGCUAAUACCGCAUAUUUUCUGAGGAAGAAAGCAGGGGACCAUUUGGCCUUGCGCUGUUUGAGCGGCCGAUAUCUGAUUAGCUAGUUGGUGGGGUAAAGGCCUACCAAGGCGACGAUCAGUAGCGGGUCUGAGAGGAUGAUCCGCCACACUGGGACUGAGACACGGCCCAGACUCCUACGGGAGGCAGCAGUGGGGAAUUUUGGACAAUGGGCGCAAGCCUGAUCCAGCCAUGCCGCGUGUCUGAAGAAGGCCUUUCGGGUUGUAAAGGACUUUUGUCAGGGAAGAAAAGGGCGGGGUUAAUACCCCUGUCUGAUGACGGUACCUGAAGAAUAAGCACCGGCUAAUACA
rnacentral:rRNA from 1 species